AUGUGAAUACACAUAAUAAAACGUCGGGCGACUUCCUCCAGCGGGCGUGCCAACUCUGACUCAGCUCUGCCCUUCUCUUCAAGUUCUUCACUGGCCAUAAGUCCAAAGACAUCUGGAUGCCGUGGGAUCCUGAAUAGCUCCUGUGCCUGCGUCCUGUCCUUCCACUGCAUCUCAGAAGCCAUGCCAGUGACACAGCUGUGUCUGGAGGGGACACUGAGCCUGCUGCCAGCACUUGCCCUCAGCCCAGGGGUGGAGUCAACACUAAGUGUGACAAAGGGACAGAUGGCAAGUCCACUGUGACGCUCACUACUGAUCACACUGCAUCUGGAGCUCGCCCUGUCUCUGGCUUCCUGGUUACAGAGCCCCCGUCUGUGUCAUCGCAGCCAUACCUUUAUCACAGAAAGGACUCGUGGGAAGGAGGGAGUGGAGACUCUAGAAGACACCCAAGGGCUGUCCUCUGACCAGAAUCCCAGUGAUGCGAGGUCUGACUGCCCAAAUCUUGGGAAGACUUAUGAUUGUUUUAAAAGAUUCCUUAUAGAAAAUGGAAGAAACAAGGAAAAUGGAGGAAAUGAGGGGGAAACUCUAAUCCCAUAGUGGUAACAUUAUCCUCUACGUGAGAAAUGCAUUGAGGUUACACAGCAGUUAAUACCGAUGGUCCUUAUCGACCCUGUCUGGUCGAUGGACUAGGUAUUAUUAUUUCCAUUUCACAGAAGAGGACAGUGAAGGUGAGCAUCUUGCCCAAAGCCAUUCAAAGAGUAAAAUUUGGAGACAGAACAUAAAUUCUGGUCCUGGAGCUGCAUAGUGUUCGUGCUCUCCAUUUUUUCCUGGGGCCUCUUCCUUGAUAAAAACACUGAAAUUCUUCUUCCACCACCUGGUGGAGGUGGGCUGAGGGAUGAGGUGCCCACAGGUGUGUGGCACUGGGAACACAUCCUCUGUCCCCUCCACUCCUUCUGUUUCCCCUCCUCUCCAUGAAGGACUGUGCUGUGAUUUUGCCAGGUAGAAGGCAGUAACACCCACUCUGGCAGCCCACAAGGCUGCAAAGCCAAACAGAAAGUCAAAGCCGGCUGUGUUUUACCACCUCCAGGGUGCCUCCAUUUAAAAUUAAAGCUCAGCAUGUCGUCUUUUAAAAAUUCACGAUUUAUUAUAAAGGGAGAAGAAAAGCUCUUGCCCUAACGAUUAAGUUUUCAGAAGGAUCACCUUGUAGCCAGGCUGUAAAACCGUGGCUGCUGGAAGGCUGGGGUAUUUAAAGAAUGUGAGCUGAAGUGGUUUUUCUUGAGUCGUUUUUUUCAUUUGCAUGGUGCUAAGACAUUUGCCAUGAGAGGGGCAUUUCAGAGCUUUCAGGCCAACUGCAAUAAACUGGUAAACAACAGCCUGCCAUUGAAGUGCGGAUUUUUCUAUCUAUGCUUAAGGGUUAUUUGCACUGCCUGUCACCAUCCCUGCUUCUUGUUGCUCUGGACUUUCUGCUCUUCAGCUAUGGCAGAAAAAAUAGCUGGGUCUGGUCGGGGUUUCGAAACUGGUCUGACCUUUACUCUGAAUUGUUGGCUCCCAGGGUCCCCGCUGCCCAGGAAGCCUCUCCCUGAGGCAUGUGGAGAUAAUGACUUCAAAUAUGGAUUUAAAAGCCUCCGGGAGCAGCAGUGAGGUAUUAUUUGGUCUCAGAAACUGCUUCUUGGUUAAGCUCUAGUUCCAAGCCAUCUGGGUCACAUUUCCUGUGGGAAAACACAGAGAACCCCUGUCUUCUUCAUGGACACGUUCCUCCCAGCACUGAGUGUCUUUGCAGAUCAGCACUUUCUAAGAGUUUUCAGGAAAUCUGUGAAGGCUCAUGCUACGGCCAAAAUAAAUCAAAUAGGAUAAAUGUUCACUUUUUGGAGUCCUCCCUUCAUUAGUUUGGGAUGAGUGACAGUUUAUGCUGGGGUGAGUUAGAAGCAAAAGGGGCAGCCUCUACGUUGGUCUCCAUGAUCCCCUCCUCCUCAUAUUUUCACCUGGGUAUAAUCCCCACCUCUUGAAUGUGUGUUGGGGGUGUCCCCGUGACUUGCUUCUGACUGAUGGAAUAUGGCAAAGGUGAUGACUGCGUGACUGGAUUACAUUACACAUUUAAGACUGUCAUCCUAGCAAAUCACUCUGACUCUUGCACUAGGUUUGAGGAGGGAAGCUGCCACAUUGUGGCCUGCCUACAGAGAGGGCCACGUGGCAGGGAACUGAGGGCAGCCUCCAGCUGGCAGCCAGCAAGACAUCAGAGCUCUCAGUCCUACAGCUACAGUGAAAGACAUUCUUCCAACAACCAAGUGAGCUUGGAAGCAGCUGCUUCUCUCAUUGAGCCUCCAGAUGAGAACACAGCCUGGUCAUCACCUUGAUUGUAGCCUGCGAGACCUUGCAGCAAAGUAUUCAGUCCAUACCCAGACUUUUGAUUCCCCAAAACUGGGAGACGACACAUGUGUGUUGUUCAAAGCUGCUAAAUUUGUGGUAGUUUGUUACAUAGCAAUCGGUAAUGAAAAAAGGGGCAUGCAGAAUAAAUUAAUAAAACUGUGUCACAGGAGUGCUGUGCAGCUACCAAAUAAGGCAAGCUACAUCAGCCUCUUUGAAAGCACCAUUUGCGCCUAAUAAUAGGCAACUAUUUUGACUUCUUAGCCGUCCUUUUAAGAAGAUGUGGAAGAAAUGUUUCAAAAUAAAAAAUGGGGAAAAGCAGUGGA